rnacentral:sRNA from 1 species
CGCCUGAAAGGUUAGCACGUUAAUUGUUCUAAUGUGUUUGUUUUGGAUUAGGUGAUUGAGGCAGGGAAACUAGACGCUGCACGGUAUGCUCUGGAAGAAAACAAGGGAGAGCAUUCAGAUGAGGACACAUGAAUAGACAAAUAGCAAAGUUAAUUACUUGUUAGACUUCAAGAAGAAGAAGAAAAAAACAUGACUGUUUGGCUACCGAUGCUCGUAUUAGUCGCAUCGCUUCCCAUUGUGUCUAUGACACCAGAAGAGGUGUGUGACCCAGAUGUUCCCUCUCGACUUCUCUUUGCUGAUCACAGUCAGAGCCACGGGAAUGUCAAGUGCCCAGAGGGAGAGUACUCACGCUGGGGAGUGUGUUCACCGUGUCAAGAAGGGACAUUCAGGACUAAAUUGAUGGCCGAACAAGAUUAUCCAACCUGUCUUGCAUGCCAGGUACCAGAUCCA